rnacentral:rRNA from 1 species
UACGUAGGGGGCAAGCGUUGUCCGGAUUUAUUGGGCGUAAAGAGCGUGUAGGCGGCUUUGCAAGUCCGUUGUGAAAACUCGAGGCUCAACCUCGAGACGCCGGUGGAAACUGCAAAGCUAGAGUCCGGAAGAGGAGAGUGGAAUUCCUGGUGUAGCGGUGAAAUGCGCAGAUAUCAGGAGGAACACCAGUGGCGAAGGCGACUUCCUGGCCUGUUCUUGACGCUGAGGCGCGAAAGCUAGGGUAGCAAACGGG